UACGUAGGGGGCGAGCGUUGUCCGGAAUUACUGGGCGUAAAGGGUGCGCAGGCGGCGCCUUAAGUCAGACGUGAAAUAUCCGGGCUUAACCCGGAGGGUGCAUCUGAUACUGGGGGGCUUGAGUGCAGGAGAGGAAAGUGGAAUUCCUAGUGUAGCGGUGAAAUGCGUAGAUAUUAGGAGGAACACCAGUGGCGAAGGCGACUUUCUGGACUGUAACUGACGCUGAGGCACGAAAGCGUGGGGAG
rnacentral:rRNA from 1 species